rnacentral:snRNA from 1 species
CAAAAUCAAUUGUUUUGGUAAAACUGGAACGAUACAGAGAAAUUAGCAUGACCCCUGCGCAAGGAUAACACCAAUUCGUGAUGCAUUCCGUAGUUUU